UUCUAGAGAUAAGUUAGUACACACACACACAUAGAGAAAGAGAGAGUUGAGCUGGCCUGGAAUGCUAUUAAUGACAAAUCGACUUCGUUGCCACCUAUUUGUUUUCAAUGAUGGAGCCUCUAAAUCGACAAUUAACACCAUUGAAUAUGAUUUAUAUCAUUUGAAGUAUCUAGAAACCAAAUUUUAUAUUUUUACGAUAUUCUUCUCUUGUCCAUCAAGCGGACACAAAAAUAAAUGGCUGAAAAUAAAUAUCCUUCAAAAAGUGAUAAUAAAAGUCUUGUAAUUAAGAUCAAAAGUAUAGAUCUUGUUCUAAAUUAUUUAAAAAACUUUCUAACCAAAAUUCAAUUGAUUUGGACGUCUUAUAUCGACCAUUAAAAUUACAAAUUUUAAAAUCCUUUGAUCAUUAGGUCAAUGAUGUCGAAAAGAUUUGAAAUUUAGUUUCUAAAUAUUUCAAGUGGUAUAGAUCAUAUUCAAAGAUGGCGAUCGUCAAUUUAGAGGCUCUAUCAUCUAAAACAAAUAGGUGGCAACGGAGUCUGUUUGCUACUAAUAGUAUUCCGGCUCAUCAACUCUCUCUCUCUCUCUCUCUCUCUCUCUCUCUCUCUAUAUAUAUAUAUAUAUAGUAGGUCUUGUGUGCUAUUAGGAGCACGGAGGCUUCCAUGUUCGUAAGCUGUUUUCGUCGGUGGAACUUCCGAAUCAAUAAUCGGCUCCGUUAGACUUGAUCUAGCAUAUUUGAAGAAUUUAGAAAAUAAAUUUUACGAUUUUUCGAUAUCAUUUAUCUAGUGAUCAUAAGGGUUCAAAAUCAAUAAUUUUUAAUGGUUAAUGUAUAUCGAUUGUAAAUUUAAUGAUGUAGAAGUAUUUAAAUCAGAUAAAAUUUUGAUAGAAAUUUUUUUAUAGUAUUUAUUGCAAGAUCAAUAUCUCUAACCGAAAAUUUUAAGAGUCCGGCUACUAUACUCUUAUGAGUACGAUCGUCUUCGUACUCAUAAGUUGUUUUCGAUGAUAAAGCUUGCGAAUCGACGACCCAUACCGUUAAACAUUAUCUAGAGCAUUUAAAACUUCUGAAAAUCAAAUUUUACAAUUUUUCGAUAUCAUUUACCUUACGAUCAAUAGCUCACAAAAUUGACAAUUUUUAACGGCCGGUAUGUGAUACUUGCUAGUUUAACGGUGUAAAAGAAUCGAAAUAGCUUGAAUUUUUGAUAGAAAAUUCUAUUCAUUACCUAGAUAAAGAUCAAUAACCCUCAUCUUAAAUUGAAGAAUCCGAUCAUCCAUUCUUAGGACGUUGUUCGAUUUUGACCGUUCAUUUUAUAUCCGCUUCGUACUCAUAAGUUGUUUUUGAUGUUGGGGAUUCCGAAUCGACGAUCCACACCGUCAAACAUGAUCUAGAGUAUUUGAAACUUCUAUAAAAUAAAUUUCGUAAUUUUUUGAAAUCAUUAUAAAGUCCAUCAAGCGGAUAUAAAAUGAACGGUCAAAAACGGAUAUAAAAUGAACGGUCCAUCAAGCGGAUAUAAAAUAAACGGUCAAAAUUGAACAACAUCCUAAGAAUGGAUGAUCGAAUUCUUCAAUUUAAGAUGAGGGUUAUUGAUCUUUAUCUAGGUAAUGAAUAGAAUUUUCUAUCAAAAAUUCAAGCUAUUUCGAUUCUUUUACACCGUUAAACUAGCAAGUAUCACAUACCGGCCGUUAAAAAUUGUCAAUUUUGUGAGCUAUUGAUCGUAAGGUAAAUGAUAAUUACGAUAUCAUUUUCCUAGUGAACGAAGGGGCUCAAAAUCAACGGCUGAAAAUAAAAAUCUUACAAAAUGUAAUAAUAUAACAUUAAAAUUUUAAAUCAAAGAUAUUGAUCUUGUUUUAUAUAGUAUAAAGAAUUUUCUAUCAAAAUUUCACGUGAUUUGGAUAUUUCUACACCGUUAAACUUGCAAACGGCUCACUACGGCCAUUGAAAUUUGUUGAUUUUGAGCCCAUUCGAUCACUCUAUAUAUAUAU
rnacentral:lncRNA from 1 species